CUGACUCUGUUGAGUCCUUUAAUUGUGAAAGAUGGCCAAUUAUCGGUGGACAUGGCAACAUUUUUAGCGUAAUAUUCACCCUUGUGGAACGGGCACAGGUCAUCGCCGGUGGAUGUGCAUAUUAAUAACUAGUUCUGCGAUGGAGGCGUGGCUCAAACUAAUGUUAAAUGUUGGCACGUUUUCCUUGCAUGAACUGGCACAUCUAUAUACUGUAGGGCUGGUGCUUUUGCUGAACGGAAGACACUUUUUUGAAUGGAAAGACUUCCAUAAUACAUCUAAAAUAAAAGCACUAAUUUAUUUCGAAUUCAAAAAGCGCGCCUUUUCAUCACGUUCUUCAGCACUGAGCAUAGCACGAUAGUGGACUUAUGAGGAAAUAAAAGCAAUGUGUUGUAUUAAAUAUUUUUCGCUCAUUACUUUCAAACAAUUAAUAUUUGGCGCGCACCACUCGUAUCAAGUCGAUGGUAUCGAUAGCCGAACUUCAAUCGGGUAAGACUCUCUUUGAACCGGUUGACGACAAUGAGCCCCAUUCCAUACACAAUGUUGCUGGCAACACUAAUUUUCAUACCCUAGGAAAAAGGAUAUUAUAGAAUUGAGAAAAUGUUUCUCAUCACAGGCACCGUAGGUUACAAGAUACUAAUCAUAUGCAUCAAUAUGUCUUAAACGUAUCAGUUUGAGAAAAUUUCUUUAUUAAUAACGUUU